UAUGCCGUUCGUUGGUGACGUCCUAUGUCCGAGGGCCGUGACGUCGUGUCAUUCACAUACUGAAGAGUGAGAAACGAAAUGCGACUGUCCACGUUUGACAUGUGACCCGUUUCGAUCCGGGGUUCGGACUAUGUAGAUAAAUGUUAUGGUGAAUUCUCCGUGAGUGAGGUUUUUAGACUAGUGGACGCCGGGUUGAGGUACUGGAUUGUCGAUCGGAAGAAAUGCUCGGGGCUCAGCAGUCGCCGUCCGGAGGUGGGCCUCUUCUUCCCAGUUUCGGAUUCACGCAGGACCAGGUCGCCUGCGUCUGCGAAGUCCUCCAGCAGGCCGGCAACAUGGACAGGCUGGGCAGGUUCCUCUGGUCGCUGCCCGCCUGCGAAAAACUCCACAGCAACGAGAGCGUCCUCAAAGCGAAGGCCAUGGUCGCCUUCCACAGAGGCAAUUUCAAAGAACUAUAUAGGAUUUUAGAAAGCCAUCAGUUUUCAGUGCACAACCACGCCAAACUCCAGGCUCUAUGGCUCAAGGCGCAUUACGUCGAAGCGGAAAAACUGAGGGGGAGACCUCUCGGCGCCGUCGGCAAAUACAGAGUACGACGGAAAUUCCCCCUGCCUAGGACCAUCUGGGACGGAGAAGAGACCUCUUACUGCUUCAAAGAGAAAUCCAGAUCCGUUUUAAGGGAUUGGUAUGCUCACAACCCCUAUCCCAGCCCGAGGGAGAAAAGGGAACUGGCCGAAGCGACCGGCCUCACCACCACACAAGUCUCAAAUUGGUUCAAAAACAGGCGGCAACGUGAUAGAGCCGCAGAACACAAAGACGGAUUCCAGAAUGUUUCAAAUGAAACGAAUAUAAGUCGAGAAUUUGUCAAAUCAUCAACGGAUGAAACAUUCUGUAAUUAUUUCUGAUAAUUAGUGCGAAGGAUGGGAGUGAACGACAAAAAGCCUUAAAAAUAGAUGGCCAAUAAAAGAAAUAUCGAUACGAACGGGCAAAGGAUGCCAAAGAAAAAUAGACGCUAAAAAAUCGUCAGAAACAGUACCGCCUGUAGACAGUGGUUUUCGAUGUACGGAAUUUGGAGAUACAAAAAAAGUACAAAUAGAAAUAUUUGAAAACAAAAUACAAAAUCACCCACACAAUUAUACACACGCACAUAAAAAAAAACACAU
rnacentral:misc_RNA from 1 species